rnacentral:lncRNA from 10 species
AUUUUUUUCCCUUUUUCCUUUUUUGUCCAUUUUUCCUGACUUGAAAUCACUAGGAAUGAAGCUGUGCUCUUCUUAAAGCCGUGCAAACUGAAGCUAGACAACUUAAACUUUGCAAGAAAAUAACAGCAACCUAUUUAUAUACAUAAACCACUUUUAUACCUGCCUACUGAUGUAUGGACUUCAGAGUAAUAUGGCCUAUAUCAGUUUUCCAAGACUGUUUUCACUUUUUGUUUGUUUGUUGUUUUCUUUCUCUCUUCCUCUCCCAUUUUUUUUUCUUUGUGGGAUGCGAGACCUUACAACCUGCUAAAAAUGAGCUUUCCUAACAAUGUGGGACCUGUCUUUCUAGGAAUAAACUAUCCUAGGCAUGAGAGAUCAGACAAAACCAGAGACUCAUUUUCUUCUAAAAUGCUUUCUCCGAAAGAUUUUAAAAAGAAAAGGGCAGCGAAAUGUGAAAGGAAAAUAAAAACAACUCGAGUUCACAAUGCUAAAAGAAAAAAAAAAUUAAGCUGAAAGCUGAGUCAUGCAAGAAGCUGACUUUCCUUUCUGUUCCUAAGCAGAUAGCAACAGAUAAAAGGUUAAACAUCUCCACAGGUAGCUUCUUUAUGUUCACCUUAUGUAAAGUAUGCUGGUUUACUGAGUAUGAGACAAAUACACAAUUGACUAUUUCUCUACCUGCUCCUUUUCUCUAGCAACAUGUGGAUUAUCAUACCCUCCCUUUCUCUCCUCCAGCCCACUUCUCCCCUUUAAAUACUGAAACUCUCAAAAUCAUCUUUGAAGAAAGGCACAGAUCACAGACUGUUUCUGCGAUUCCAUGUUCAUUUGUUCCAGGUACCUUGAAUCUAUCCAGCUCUGUCAUGGGAAGACCUGUGCCAUGUUGUUCAACUGAAAAGAUUCAUGGGGUACCACUUUAAUCUAUUCGGAGGUUUUAGUCAUGGGUGUGACUAUCACACCCGUAAUUUGAUCCUUGCCAAGAGGUUGAGUUCUAAUCAACCUUUGUUGCUCAUCUCAGUUUUGUUUUUAAUGAAUAAUAAUGAGAAUCACUUGCAUCUUCUAAACGUGCAUGUCUCCAAGUUUAUAGCUUCCUAUAAUCACUUUCUUUCCUAACUGCAAGCUGGACAAUUAUUUUCUAAACUCAUCAUUUCCUGUAGUAUUGAGACAGGAGAAUAGGGUCUGGAGGCACGGAGAUUAAUUAAAUCUUUUUUAAUCAUCUAAGGCUGAUUCACACUGACUUCCUAAAACUAAAUCAAAAGGAAAACCCCAACUUCCCAUGCCUAAGUAACAAAUGGACUCAAGGCUACUCCCUUUGCAACCCCCAUCUUUUCUGAGUGUCAGAUAAAAAAUUGUAAGUACCUCUGACUGGUCCCCUCCUGCAGUCAAUCAGGCUGGUCACAGGCCAAGUCUUCCUUUGCAUAGGAGUAUAACUUUGUAACUUCACUUCAGCCUCUGAUUCAUCACUUUCUGCAACCAAUUAGUCGUUUGCAUAGGGUGUAACUGUAACUUUGCUUCAGUCUCUGAUUGUUCCCCUCCUGCAACCAAUCAGACUGAUUGCGGGCCACUACUUCAUUUACAUAGGGUGUACACCAAGUAACCAACAGGAAACCUCUAGAGUGUAUUUAAACCCCAGAAAAUUCUGUAACCAGGUCCUUGAGCCACUUUCUCCAGCCUGUUCCCACGCUACAGAGUGUGCUUUCAUUUUCAAUAAAUCUCUGCUUUUGUUG